CUCACCAAACCAAACACUGUAAUUUAUCUCCAUCUCUCUCUCAGGCUGACCUCAGGCCGUUAAAGGUUUCCAGUUGGGUUUGUGGCGGGCAGAAAUGUCAGAGCUGUGGAUUCCAGCGGCGGGCAGAGAGGCUGCUACAGUAUGUGGCGGGAGACUGCGUUGCUGAUGGCCACAUAAGGACACUUUCUGUCGGGACUCCCGUUAGAACCAAUCUGACAGAGCGCAGACCGAAAGGUCUUUUGGUGAGAAAACUGAAGGACUUUUGAAGCUACAGAAAAAGGAUCUACAAGCACCUUUCCCUCAAGAAAAGUCACUC
rnacentral:lncRNA from 1 species